rnacentral:lncRNA from 1 species
AUGAAUUUGAAUUUGGGAUAUGUUUGUGAUGAUUUACAAAAAAACCCACAAGUAUUGAUAAAGCUGUAAAUUUUAGGGUGGUCAUAUGAGUCCUCUGUGCUUCCAUUUCUCUGUCUGUAAAAGGGAAAGAAACAAUAGUAACGAACUUAUUGAGCAUUAAAUGAGAUGCUCCCUAUAAAACCUGGCAGGAUACUUGGUAGCCGUUUAUUGUCAUUUACAUUAAGUAUUAGCAUUGCUCUUACUAUUCUAUGUAAUCUUCCAGAAACUAUGAAGAGCUCUGAUUUAAAUACGAAGACAUUGGGUUACCAGCUUCUCCAUCUAUACAAUGGACCAUUAGAUCAGAUGUGGGAAGCAUGACUCACCCUGGACUGACUCACAGCAAGUAUGACUCCAUGAAACACUCGCAGAGUUGGGGACUCGAGGGGCUCAGCCUCCACGAUACUGGCCAUCAAGAAAACACUGGCCUUCUGGGCAGCAAGAUGGUUCACUUCUAUAUUUGGGGAUCUCUUAUGGAAAUUUACUGACUGCCCUUGGGUCUAUGAUCCCUGUUUCUAAAACCAGACACCUGAAUCAAAGCACUAAACCAG